rnacentral:tRNA from 1 species
GCCCGGGUGGUGGAAUUGGUAGACGCGUCGGACUCAAAAUCCGAUACCGAAAGGUGUGCCGGUUCGAUUCCGGCCCCGGGCACCA